rnacentral:misc_RNA from 1 species
GUCGGAGUCGGGCGACGCACGCUAACGGUAGCAUCCGGGUUUGACGGAGGGACCACAGGUUUGUACGGCCUGGGAAGUCUCAGGAACGGCUAACCCGGCAACAUGACCACCGCAGAAUUCCGUCAGGACCAUGCAACGUUUGUCGCCGCCAACUCCGGCAGUGCCGUGACCGUGCCAUGCCGCGAGAGCGAUAAAUUCUCAGGCGGCUUGUUGGGCUCGGUGGCCGGAGAGCAUGGCAGAAUUCCGUUAGAGCUCGGUGGCCGGCGGACAGCCAGGUUUCAGGUCACCGACGUGCACGUGCACGGCAUAUAGCAGUAGCAGCAGCAGGCAGAUAUGGCACAUGUGCUCCAGUGCACGCGACAUGAAACAGAACCGUUUGGAACCAAGCAGCCAAACCGCUGCAGGGCCGCCUGUAUGGCUAUGGACUAUGGCACAUCAGGGGAGCAGAGACAGAGAGGUCUAGGCCAUCCUGAGCGCCUCCCUGAACCCGAUACUGAAGCUGUUCUGCAGGUCGGCCUUCUUCGGGAGCACCCCCACCGUCGGCUUCUGCAUCAUCGCCACGAACUCGUUGUAGUCUAUGCGCCCGUCCUGCAGCAGCAGGUCCAGAACAAUUCAGACGCAGAGAAGAGAAGAGAAGAGAAGAAGGAACGAGGAGGAGGGGGGGCUGACGUACGUUGUCCUGGUCCACUUCCCCGAUCAAGUCCUCCAGCUGGACGUCGCCCAGGCCGAACUCCUCGCACGCCACCUGCAGC